rnacentral:lncRNA from 1 species
UUAAGAACUCUACCAUAUUUUGAUUGCAUCUUAGAUCAUCUGUUUGACCAUCUUGUGCAUUUUAUUGGCUUUUGAAAAAGAGGAAGGCUAAGAUGAAACAGUUUAAGUUUCAUCUAAGGAUCUGAAAUGCAAGGAUCUACGCUCGGUAGAAUGGAAAGAUGAGAGAGUUCUUUGAUCCUUGAUUGUCUUAGAUGAUGGUGGGUGAAGAUGGCGAUAUCAUCCCAAAGCUUAUGCCAUAGAUCCUGAAACACUUUUAAUUUGUGCUCCAUUGGUAAGGAUGCAGUAAUAACAUCAUACUUCCUGGGGCUUCUUAUAGAUUGAGAGAAGGUUGCCCCAUUGUGGACCAAUAUUCAAGUUUUUAUUUCUUUUCUUGAUAUCAAGUUAUGCUACUAUUUUCUUUUCUUCUUUUAUGUUGGAAGCAUUUCAGGUUUGCUCUAAUGCCAAAGGCUGUUCAACUAAUGUCCAGACAAAUAUACUAGUUCAUUAAUAAUUCUAUGAUUGUAGGAACAUCUAGAUGUUUAUGUUGUCUUGAUGUUUGUUGUUAAUGCUGAUAUAAUAAUUUCUCAUCUCAAUCAUGUUAAGUGUUAGGCUUGUUUUGUUUUUGUUUUCUACUUUCCCCUCUCUCUUCUCUCUCCAUAGUUUGAUCAUUAGCAGCAUGCACAUCAGAUUUGUUAUUUUAUUUCCUAAUUUCUCACUUUACAUGUUUAUUCUUUCUUCUCUCCCUUUAAUUUAUUCUGUUCUGUAAAGAGAACAUAUAAUUGUUGUGGUAUUGUAGUGAGUGUGAGCAAUGCAUUGCUCUUCUUGAAGAUUCGGUUUGUGUUCUCCUUCGUUGUUUAGAGACGGUGGAUGCUGAUUCAGUGGUCCGAAAAGGUUAUUUUUCAUGGGAAGUAGAAGAGGGAGUAAAGUGUGCUUGUUUUCUUCGAAGGAUUUAUGAAGAGGUGUGUAAUUUUAUCAUGAACUUGGUAAUACUUUGAAAAUGUAUCUCCGUUGUUCGAGUUUCCAGAUGAUAUUUAGAGUAGUAAAAAUCACCUGCAUAAUUAGUCUCUUUUUUGGAAUUUAAUUUUUAUUCAAAGGUUAUAGAUAGAGUCUCCAAUUAGGGAGGGCUUCUGAUACAUGCAGGUGAGGUGACAGGCUCAAUUAGUGAGCUUCAGUGGUUUUGACAUCCUCAUUCCUUUGUUAAUGAUAAAAUUUCAACCCAAUUUUCCUCCUUAAUGAUCGGAAACUGAAUGGACAUUAGAAUAUGGCUCUUUUGCUUUCAUGAAUAAGAGUUUUAAAUAAAAUAAACUAUAGGAAUGGAGGAGUGAUACCAACAGUAAACAUUGUAUGUGUCAUAUUUGGAAAAAUUCUUCCAAGAUAUGCAAUUAUUAAAGUAUGCUUUGUGAUUUUGCAGAUGAGACAGCAAAAGGAUGUCUUUAGGCAGCACUGUUUUAAGUUUUUAUCCAAUUACAUAUGGAUUUAUUCAGGAUAUGGCCCCCUUAAAACAGGCAUCAGAAGGUGAUAUUCAGCAUCUCAUAUGCAACUUGAUUAUUGCUAUUAAUUACGUAUUAUGACUUUUAUGCUUAGGUCUUUCAUGUUCAACUUUGCAUAGACCUUAUGCAGUCACAAAUGAAUCAUUUGGUUAAUCAAUUUGCAGGGAAAUUGACGAUGCUCUGAGACCAGGAGUUUAUGCCUUAAUAGAUGCUUGCUCAGCAGAUGAUCUUCAAUAUCUUCAUACUGUGUUUGGAGGUAUGCAAUCUUGACUAUUCUAAGGUGUAAAAUCGGACUCUUGGUGACAUCUGCUUCAAGUCUCACUUUGCUUUGGAUGUUAUUAAUUCUUGUAGAGGGUCCUUGUCGAAGCACUCUAGCAACUUUGCAGCAUGAUUACAAGCUGAACUUCCAAUAUGAAGGAAAAGUUUGACCUAAGUUCUUUCCCCGUGCCAAGAAAUCGUAUUUAUUUGUUCCCAGCAAUUCUUAUAACAUAAUGAGGGAACCAAGUGGUAACAAUACCCUGGAGAUAGCAUAAUAUGAUCCUAAAAUAUCAUGGAAGCAUGAUGAUCAUGAUUCUCCAUGCCCCAAAUCCCCUGUGGAAGUUCGAAGUGGCAUGUCUGGGUUGUGACAUUGGAUGGUUCCACAGUUGUUCUGGGUUAUGAUAUUGACAUUUGCUCAGUUGUGGCCUUUGUAAAUGAGAUCCAGCUGAAGCUGUAGACAAGGAAUCAAGAAAAAAAGCGAUAUCUUUCUCAUUCUGCAACCAAUAUUCAGCUCAUUUUGUAAGUUCCAUGUGUGUAUAUAUAUGUAGACAAAGAAUACAUACUAUAUAUCUUGGUUUUUCAACAAUGCAAAUUUAAUUUUAUUGGUGUCUUUUACAUUUCAUGUAUUCACUGACAUCAUCAACAUUCUAGUAAUGCAACCCUGAUUUUUAUAGAUCGAAGUUUCCUUUUCUUAGAUGAUGUGUGCUCAAUUCUUGUUUAAUCCUUAUCUUCUGAUGGAUUGAUAAUUGUAAUUAUCGGUAACUUGUGUUAAUCAACCUUGGAUUUUUCUCGAAAAAGGUGCAGUCUUUUCUGGAUCCAGAUGAUUGAUUAGUUAGAGACCCUACCCAGAUUUUGGUUGCCCAAGAAAAAGCCAAAGGAGCAAGGGAGCCCCAUCUUUAUUUAAUGAAGGGCCACGUAUGCUAGGCAGGUGUUAACUUGUACCUACCAUCAGUCAUCAACCACAAAAAUCUAAACAAGAAACAUUGAAUGCAAGAGAUGUGAUAUGGACAUCAAUGAUUUAGGGUUUCAUGUGACUAUGAAAUGAUAGAAAAACUAGUAAAUUAGUGUGUUUAGUGGGAUUUUUAGCAGUGGGAUAAGCACUCACUGUGAGCUGAAAAAUAAAAAAUCUGGUAUCCACCAAUAGGUCUCAGUCACAUGUCAUCUAUCAUAUAAAUUUGGAUGGGCUCUAUUAUAUAUGUAGCAUUUUUUUAGGUAUCUUUAAUACAAUUUUAGUGGAAUUUCAGUCUCAUCAUUAUUAGACUGUCUUCCUGAGAGGAUAAACUUUGACCUAGUGUGAUGACUCAGUGGGUACAUUGUUGUUCAUUAUCCAUCAUUUUUAGCAUUUAUUUGAAAACUAGUUUUGAAAACAACCCUUUUUCUUUAGAAUAUAAACCAGUUUUGUAACUUCAAAAAAACAAGAGAAUAUGAAGAAUAGUUUAGGAAUUUUUAUAUUAUACAUAAGUGAAGAAUGUUUUUAUGAAGAAUAAGCUAGAAAAAUUGAGUUCUCAAAUAAAAUUCUGUUCCCAAAAAUAAUUAAAAAUUGUUUUUAAAAGUUGUCAAAAUUUGUUUAUUUUUUCUGUUGAGAAGUAUAUUUUGAUAAUUGUUAGCGUAUCACUGGAUGUCUUAAAGUUUCGGGAUUAAAAUUGAUAAUUUAACAUGAUAUAUAUCUUACUUAGCCCACAUGGAGCCAAGAUGCAAGUUAGCCUUCCCAUGAGUUGAUGUACCUAAAACUUGAUAUAAAUUAUAUUUAUGCUAGUCAUUUUCUAGAAGUAACAUUAAGAACAUAACUUGAUAUAUAUGACAUAUUACUGAAUUUAUACGAUAAGUAAAUAAAGUAACUUGUUACUAAGAUUAAAGCAUUUUCCAAGCAUAAUUCAAUAGGUUCCCACCUACCAAAUCAAACUCUCUUGAUUGCUAUAAAUAACUGCUCUGCUUUCAUCAAGGGGCCUCUUAGAACUGGUGCAGUGGCCAAAAGGCCCUUCAUGGCCUACAGAAGAAGAAGCAUAGCCUCAUCUAUUGCAGAUGUCUUUACUAUAAGUCCUCUGCCAUACCCAGUUCUCCUUAUUCUAGCAGUGAUCUUAAUCUUCUUUUCUAUAUCAUGGUAUGUCUCUUAUGACUCAAUUAUAGAAGCUGCAGAAGUGCAGAUGAGUUGGGCGCUAUUAGCCAUUCCUAUACUACUUCUAAUGGCAGUCCACUUGGUGUCAUCCAUGGAAAAUUCUGACCUCUUCUCUGCUUCCUCGCCCUAUGGUUAUCGCCGCCGCAGCUACCAUAGUCCUCAGGAAGGCAGCUCUCCAUGGGGCGUGGCUGCUUUAAUUGUGUUGUUGCUUAUUAUGGUGCAAUACCAGUCUGUGUUCCAUGAUAGCUGGCUUGUUUAGUAUGUUAAUUGUUACUGAGUAUGAUGUGUUUAGGUUGAAAUAUGUGAUUUGAAUAACUGGGUUUUGUGUAUAAUAUGACUAUAGUGAGUUAAAUUAUCUGUUUUUAGGGUUUGGAUUCUUGGCUUAUGAAUCUGGUCUAAUUGCAGACGUUUGAUGCUUUUGAUUACUUCUAUGGUUAUUUUGCUUCUUUUAUUUCCAUGGAAUCGAUCUUUCUUCCAAAAGAGAAGCUAUCAAACACUUUAUUAAGUUUGAAGCUAUCUAAAUCAUUCAUGAGUCAACUGAUCUGUAAUUUUUCCUGGAAAAAAUGACAGAAAAUUUUCAACUCUUUGCAUUUUCGAAGUUUGAUGAGACAGCUCUCAUGUGAUGUAGUUGAGUAAAGGCUUUUAAUUAGGGUUUUUUUUGUAGGAAUUCACACGCAUGAAUGAAAGCCAUUUCUCAACACAUUUGAGGUAUAUUUGAAUGUCAGAAGCUAUAAGACAGGGGGAAAGGAAUUACUGAAAAACCAUCACUUUCAGUUGUUUGGUUGAUGAGAAAUAGGAAUGUGACCAAGACAAAAAAAUAAUCGAAGUUCAAAGAGUGGAAGAAUUGAAUUCAAAAUAGUGUUUUUUUCUAUUUUAUUUUCUCUUCCUUCUUCGUCUCUGCUUUAACAUUCCUCAGAACCAAACACACUCCCAGAAAAUCUGUUAAGGGUUGCUGAAAUAAGUGGAUAUUGUAGGUCAUUCCCCCAAUUCAAUAAAAUAACAAAAAGCAUCCCAAUAAUUUGAGGCAUGCAAUGAUUAAUCUACCCAAAGGGUUCAAGGUUUUCAGCAACAAAAUAGCUUAGAUUUAAUCCAAAACCCAAAGUAUCAUGAUGGGUAAUAAUAAAUAAACCAAAAGAGUCCACACGCCGAUCAAACGCAAUCACACAAUGGCCACCCUCACUUGGCUGAGUCCCUUGGAUGGGUUUCUGAAGAGAGAGAGAGAGAGAGAGAGAGAGAGAGAGAGAGACCCUCAAGAGUCAUGGCCCAAGAGUAAUUUAGACCUGAAGACUUUUUCUCCCCUCAAGAGUCAUGGCCCAAGAGUAAUUUAGACCUGACAACACCAGGUAGCUAAUAAUCAAACCUACCCCUCCCAAAACUUUAAUGAUACAGUGUUUGGUAUAAGAUAACCUGCUGCUUGCCCAUGCAAUAUAGGCUACAACAUUCAUUUAAAAAAAAUCACAAAAUAAAAACCCUUUAAUUUUCAUAAGUUGAAAUACUUGAAUGUAGUAUCAAUAUCAUAAAAAGAUAAUAGUCAAAUAUCGUAAUUUUUAUCGAAAAAUAUAUAAAAUUCUAAAUAUUUUUAAAUUUACAUGUCAAAUUUGAAUUUUACAAAUUUGAGUUUCUAUUUUAUAAUUUUUCAAUAUGUGUAUAUGAAAACAUAUAUUUUUUUUUAAUCCUCUAUAACGAUCUCGAUUUUAAAUUUUAUUAUAAGAUAAGAAAUAUGUUAAAAGAAGAAGAAGAAGAUGGAUUAGUCACUUUUAUGUAUGUCUUGUUGAAGAGAAAACAAGAAAUAUACAAAACCCAUCACUUGAACUUUGUGCCACCAUGCUACAAAUCAUACCACACAGGACUUAAAUAUGAAUCAUAUUACAAAACCCAAAAGAGAAACUCAAUAGAUACCAUAAUCAAACCCAAAUUAUGUACAUUCACUUGCCUUACAAUGACAAGUAAGGCAUCCUUAUUGUCAUAUGUAGAAAGUACCGGAGUUUCUUUUGUUAAACAGAACUCCUGAGAGCUCCAAACCACUUUGAUUGAAAUACAGAUUGGUAAGAGACCAAGACAAGAAGCACCCCCACCAGGACAGCAACACCCCAAGGAAAGCUCCCAGCUCUGUGAUUGGACUCAUGAUGUGGAUUUGGAGCCUGGAAACUAGGCCUCCCAUCAGAGGAGGAGGCAAUGAGGAAGAUGAAGAGGAUGGGCAACAAGAAGAGGAAUAGCUGGAAGUUGUUGGUAGUUUGGUAUAGUUGGCCCUUGUAGCUUGUGUAAUUGGAGAGGGACCACAAGAGAAUGACAAUGGCAAAAAUGGCUAGCAAUGGAAGAGGUGGUGUGGAGAUGUUGUUGAGGGUCUGGCCUGUCCACCCAUGUUUCCACUCUGGUCCCCUUCUUUUGUGGAAAAACCACUCCAUUGGAUUCUCAAUCUGUAGCUACCUUGGUUUAUCUGCAAGAAGUAAAUGGGUUUAUGUAAGUAACGAUGGAGUGGGUUUGCUUUGAUAUGGGGUUUGGUCUUGGCAUAAAUGCUUUGAGUGUAGAAUCUAUUUGGAAGUCUUCUUUCUUUUGAAGUUAUUCUCAUCCAGUUCGAGCCGUAUUUACCAAAUUUACAAUUACAGAUUGGAGCCAGAAAUUUUCUCUAGAGGGGUACAACAAUAAUAAUAAUAAUUAGGCUCAGACAGUCACUGAUCUAACUAGGUCUUGAUCAGGCAUGGAUUCACAUCCUUUACAAUCAUAUAUGAAAGAAAACACAUACCAUUUGACUUCAUUAUCUAAAAUCAAUCUUCUUGUGCUGCUGCAUAUAACCCCAAGAAUCAUUGGCGGUAUAAGUGCCAUAUAUCCUUGCCUUCUUCCGUCUUGCUGAAAUGGAGAUGAAAAUCAAGCACAACCUAAUAGAUCAAGAGAGGAAAAAGCAAGAGCAUCCUUACAGUUUUGAUGUUUAUAGAAGGUCAGGGGGUAGGGCUAUAGUUGAUUUUGUUUGGAUAGAAUUUUAUGAAAGGGCUGCUUUCUAGUUUUAUUAGUAAAUACAAAUUUAUGCGGUACAAGAUAUGAAUAGAAUAAAUGAAUCUCAAAUAAUAUAGCAUGAGUGAUCAUUUUACGAAAAUGAGCAAUGAAAAAAACGAAGUGUUAGAGAGGAACCAUGUUCUAAGGCCCUUUUCUUAAGAACUCUCUGCUUAGAGUAAUCCUUAAUAGAUGAGUAAUCAAAAAUGAAAUUUGAGAACAAAAGUUUUAGGUACCUUCUUAUAUCUUGCCAUUCAGAAGAACAGGGUAAAGAAGAAAUCCAGCGAUGAGAAUGUGGAGAUAUAUCAAUGACAUCUAUCCUCUUCAGAUGUAAGAGCUCACCAAGUCCAUAGAUGUCCAAGACACUUCUAAAAAUCUGUAACUGAGUAAGGUUUGACAUGCCACCCUUCUCUAUAAUCAACAACUUCGUCGGUCCGUAUAAGUCAGAAAGUUGAAGGAUUUUGAGUUGAGGAAAGCCAUCUGCAGAUACUUGCAUUUCCCAUCCACGGUAUGACCACAUUCUUAAUCUUAAAGUCAACAAUUUUGGCAGCUUCUCCAAAAUCACCAUUGGGUCAUAGUCUAGCUCAGUAUCUUCUAAGGUCAGCUGUGUUAGAUUUGGUGGGAACUCGUGUAAUUGCCCUAUGGAUCUUUCCAUAUGCAGCUUAGAUAGAUGUAGCAAAGAGCUCAUGUCAAAGGAUGGAACCCCGGAGAAAUGUGAUGCCUUAAGAUACAAGGAGCGAAGAUUCUCAAGCUUAGCAAUGGAGUUUGAAAACUCGACCACUAUCGCGUCAUCCAUUUUUAUUUUCAGUUUCCGAAGGCUAGUUAAGUCACUUGUGUCAUUUUGUUGCCAAUCACUAAACCAUAUUCCGGACAGAGUUUGGAGAUUUCUUAGAUUGUCAAUCCGUAAUGGCUUGUCAUCUUCUCUAUCAUACGAGAGGAAAAGGUGUCGUAGAUUUUUCAUUUUCUCUAUCAUAGUUGGUGUUCCUUUAGAAAUACAUAUAUCCAAAGUCUGUAAACUCCUUAGCUCAUCUAAGGAGGUUGGAAAGUUUACACAGUCCUGCAAACUCCCCAAACAAGAAGGUGGACAGUUUGAAUACCUAUGCGCUGUUAAUCUCAAGUACCUUAAAUGAACUAGUUUCCCAAAUGAAUUUGGUGGCUCAUAGAUCUUUACAUUUCCCAAGUCUAACACUCUAAGUAAUUUGUAAUAUUUGUAAAUAAAAUCUAACCAUGAUAGUAUCCCAUAAUAUCGACUAUGGGGACUACGUUGGAGUAAAAAAAAGAAGAGAGACCGAAUAUAUGGGGUUGAAUGUUCUCUGGAAGCAUACCUCUCCAAGUCCAAAUAAAUACCUAGUCGACGGGAUUUGGUGAAAGGAAAAGAUGAAGUAGUUGAGGGAAGAGAAACUAUGUCCUUUUGAAUCUCAACAAAGUUUUGCUCCUUGGCUUUUUUUAUGCAUAAAUCCCGUACUAGAUCAUGAAUCCGGCAUUCUGUAACUCUCUCAUUAACACUCACUGCUACCGCUUGAACCAAGUUUCUAUUGAUUAACUCAUUCAAAUAAUCCUCAGCAGUGUCCUCCAGUCUUUGUUCAUCUUGCUGUGGAACAAAACCCUCAGCCAUCCAUAGAAGCAGUAAUGUUCUCUUGGAGAUUACCUGAUCUUCUGGAAAGAGGCCUAGAUAAAGAAAGCACGAUUUCAAGUUGUGGGGCAGAUCGAUGUAGCUUAAGCUCAAUAUUGCAUCUACUCCAUUGCGUGCGGCAAAGUGCACCCGGAGUUUGUUGAACACUUCUUCCCACAUAGUCGGCAACUGCUUUUUGGAAGACAACAAGCCUCCCAAUACAACAAUAGCCAAUGGUAAACCAGCACAUUUCUUCACCAUUUUUUCCCCAAAUUCCUUCAACUCUGGAGGACAACCGUCAGUAACAUUGUCAGGGAUUGCAGUUCUACAAAACAACUUCCAACCCUCUUCUUCCGAGAGAAGCUGCAUGUCAUGUGGAACACUUCGAGCAUCUGCUUGCAAAGCAACAUCCUUAUUUCGAGUUGUAAGAAGUAAUCUGCUGCCAUUACUCUCCUCUGGGAACACCCUUGCAAGACACUUCCAAUCGUCACUUUUCCAUAUGUCAUCCAAAACUACCAAAAAUCUUUUCUCCUCUAGGUGCUCGUGAAGUAAAUCCUCCAACUCGUUCUCCUGCAAUUUCUCUAUCUGCUUUGGGUUAUGAAGAAGUUGGUUUAGAAUUUGCUGAAAAAUAUUCCUGGGUCUACAAUCUUCAGAUACAUAAACCCAGACACGACAAGACUGAAAAUGAUCCAUAACUCUGCUAUGAUUAUAGACUUUCUUGGCAAGAGUAGUUUUGCCGAUGCCGCCCAUUCCUACUAUAGAAACCACGCGGCGCCUUGGGUCCCCCGUGGUCAGCUGCUCCACUAGCUUAUUUGCUUCUUCAUUCAGGCCCACAAUGACAUGUUUUUCGGCGCGAGGAGUGGUCCGUCUUAGAUUCUGCAGCAUCUGACUUGAAGUACUUGUUCCUACUCCAAUAUUUUUUAUUCCCAGGAUUUCUCGCCUCCUUGAGAUGUCAUGGAGGUUGGUUUGGAUCUCAUCAAUUUUCUUGCCAAGAUUAUGCAGAUACACGGGCUUUUGGAAAAUGCGCUUGACAAAGAUUUUUCUCCUCAGGGCCUCAGCCUUAAGGAUGAACAUGUCGACAACGUCCUCAGCAUCAUAAGCAACAUCUCGGAUGUCCGAAACCCAGUUACGCACUCUUGGGUCUUCCUCUUGCUUCGCAUCUGCUGCUUCUAAGAAGCAGUUGAUCGCCUUCAGAUCUCUAUGCAGCCUCUCAAUUCGUGGGCGCACCUCCUUCAAGAAAAUUGCUUCUUCCAUGAGUUGGUCACCAAUCCUGUUUACGACAAAGGAGAUUACAGCCCUUUCCAUCUUAAUCUUCUCCUUAUUACUCCCCUUAAACAGCUGAACGGAGAUGAUAAUCCUGAAUAGGAGGGGCUAGAAGCAAGAGCUUAUCGUGUUGAUCAUUCAAACACUACAGUUCUUUUGUGAUUUGGUGGAGAGGAAUGUAUUUUACGUCAUGCAUGAGCUGGACUUGAUUUCAAUUGAGCAACUACCCACAAUUGAGAGUAACAUAUCCGCCAAUGGUUUCUAGAUAUCAUUUGGUUGCUUCACUGCAAAAUAAAUUUUUCAUCCAUCAGUCUAUUUUAUCACUUCUUGUUUUCUAAAUUAUUUUUCAAAAUGUGUCAGCUAGUUAAUGUUAGAAAAAAUGUACACCAUGUUCUAUAAUCAACGGUCCCUCACAUUCGUGGUGCUAAAAAAAACAAAAACGUGAUACCUACCGAAUAUGAAAUCUGGAUCAUUGAAUAUAUGUGGUGAGAUCUUGACAAUUGAAUAAGGGUAUAAAGGAAUAAGAUCAAGAUAUAAGAAUAUAAACAAAUGAGAUUAAGGCAUUACAGGACACCGUUUGAUAAAUGAUGAUUUUUUGGUAGGUAUUGAAAAAAUACAUUUCUAUAUUUGACUAAACCCCUUCUUUUAUUCUUGUUAUCGUGUGAUAAAGAAAUGAACUUUCGUGUGAACGCAGAAGAGAUGACUUAAUUUUGAUUAACCACAUCCCAUAUAGGCUUUGGUGUUUACAUGAUGCCUAAAAAGUUGGAGGACUGAAGAUUUCUCCCAAGGCUAGUUAACUAGCUUGAGUUAUUCUGUUUCCACUCAUUCAGCGUGAAAGAGCGUGGAGACGCAAUGGCAUGUCGUCUUCUUGCCCAUCCAAGGAAAGAUGUAUUGAACCCAAAAUAAAUGAAGAUAAAAUAAGAGUAGUAGUUACAAAUUAGAAGUCAGUUUUGAGAAGAAUCUGCCUCGGUUUUCUGAAAUUGGAUAUGCAUGCCUGGAUAAUUAAAUUUAGGCUGAAAAUGUUGGAUGGCCGCAGGUUGAUGCUUGCAUGGCCAUGUCUGUUCUUGAAGCUGGCCUAUCUGAACUACAGUGUGACAUAAUUGGAUUUAGAUCCAUGGGGAGUGGUAUACCUUUAGGUUGUGUUUGGUAGGGGUAUAAGAAUGGGAAUGAAGGGGAAUCAAACAUGUGGAAGAGCGGAAUAAAAAACUAGACAAGGUGAGGUAGGUUUUAAUUCCCAUUAAAAUGAAUUUUCUAUUCCCAUUCUCAUUUGUUAGAAAUAAUCCAAAAACGGUAAUGAAUGAGAACUGGAAUGGAUUUCCCAUUCCUCCUAUUCAAGCAUACAAAGCCCAUUACUCUGAUCACAGUGCCCACAAGCAGGCUACCGCCUAUUGUACAGAGUCAUCAAGCAAAAUAAGCAGAAUUCAACAAACCCCAAUAGAGAUCAAGACAGCAACACCCGGUGAAGAAGAUGAACAGAAUGGGGAACUAUGGGAAGUGGGAACAGUUCUUUCAGCUGGUUUUAUAAUAGGGGGGAUCGAACCAAAUGACAGCAAUUGGAGUGUGCAACAAAAGAAAAGUUGAGGAAACAGAGGAAUCCAAAGAAGAGUGUGAAGGAAUCCUGAAGCUUUGUUUGAUGGCCCUGAAGAAGAGACAGAUAUUGUGCUGCUAGGACAAGACAAAAACAUAGAAAUUAAUAGGAUAACCUUCAUUAUUUAUGGCUAAAUCAACAUGGUAUUCAGAAAGAAGGAGACUAUUCCAAUUUACAUAAAUUACAAAUGGAGGACUUGAAGAUAUGCUUGCAGGUGAAACAAAAGUGACAAGCUCAAACAGUCACCAGCCUGACUAGGUCUUGACCAAGCACGGAUUCGCAUCCUUUACAAUCAUAUGUAAAAGAAAAACACCAUUUAUAACUUCAUUACCUGAAACCAGUCUUCUUGUGUUGCUGCUUAUAACCCCAGCAAUCAUCAGCAGUAUAAGUGCCAUAUACUGUCACCAUUUCCUGUCUUGCUGAAAUGGAGAUGAAAAUCAAGCACAGCACAGCCUAUUAGAUAAGGGAAAAAAAAGGAAAAAGAAGAUGAGGGAGUAAGGCUAUAGUUGAUUUUGUUUGGAUAGUCUCAUUUGGGAAAAUGAUGCCCUCUAGUUUUAUUAAUAGAAAAUGAAAAAUUAUGGAGUACAAGAGUUUAACAUCGAUUUCAUUUCAAGUGCAUUAUGAAUAGAAUAAAUGAAUAUUGAAUAAUAUAGCAAGAGUGAUCAUAUCAGUCAUAUGUACGUGGAGAAAGAACAAUGAAAAAAUGGUGUUAAACAAUGCUCUGUGGCCCAUUUUUAAGAACUCUGCCUGGAGUAAUACUAGAUGUAUGAGUGAUAAAAUAUGAGAUUAAGCACAAAAGAGCCAAGUACCUUCUUACAUCACGCCAGUCGGACGAACAGGGCAAGGAGGAAAUUCAAGGAUGAUGAUCUAGAGAUGUAGUAAUGACAUCUACCUUCUGCAGAAGUAAGAGCUUGCUAAGUCCAUUGAUGUCCAAGACGCUUUCAAAAACCUGCAACUGAGUAAGCUUUGACAUGCCACCCUUUUCUAUAUUCAACCUCCUCGUGCGGUUUAACCCAAAAAGUUGAAUUACUUUGAGUCUAGGAAAGCCAUGUGCAGAUACUUGCAUUUCCUCUCCAAGAUAUGAGUCCUUCCUUAAUCUUAGAGUCAACAAUUUUUGCAGCUUCUCCAAAAUUGCCAUAGGGUCAUAGUCCAACUCAGUCUCUUCUAAGGUUAAUUGUGUUAGACUUGGUGGGAACUGACGUGCAUUAGGUAACUGUGGUAUGCGUCCCUUUAUUUGCAGCUUAGAUAGAUGUAGCCAAGAGUUCAUGACAAAGGAUGGCAUGCCGGGGGGAUAUGCCUCAAGAUACAAGGAUCGAAGAUUCUCCAGUUUGGCAAUGGAGUUUGAGAACUCAACCAUUUCCAAGUCAAAUUUCCCUUGAAUUUUCAGUUUCCCAAGGCUAGUUAACUUACUUGUAUCAUUUUGUUGCCAAUCACUGACCCAUAUGUUAGACAGAGUUUGGAGAAGUGUCAAUUAGCAAUGGCUUGCCAUCUUGACUAUGAUAGAAGAGGAAGAGAUGUCGUAGAUUUUUCAUUUUUUGUAUCACAGUUGGCUUUUCCAAUAUAACAAUACCAAUAUCCAAAGUUUGCCACCUCCUUAAAUUACCUAAAGAGGUUGGAAGCUUUGAAAAGAACGAAUUACUCUCACGGAAUGUGAAUGGAAGCUUUAUACUCAAGUACGUUAAAUGAAUUAGUCUCCCAACUGAACUUGAUAGUCUAUUGCGAAACUCUAUACCUUCCAAGUUUAACACUAUGCAAUUUAAAAUGCCUAUAACGGAAAUGAGGUGGGAGAAAUAAUAUCAAAUUGUCAGUUUUUGGGUCGAAAGAGUGAAGGGUGCGAAGAUAUGUAGUUGAAACAUACCCCCCGAGCCAAAAUGGAUACCUUGUCGACGACAUUUGGUUGAAGGGUGAGAUGAACAAGAUGAGGGAACAUGAACUAUGUUAUUUUGAAUCUCAAACAGCUUUUGCUUUUUUGCCUUCUUUAUGCAUAAAUCCCUUACUAGAUCAUGAACCCGACAUUUUUUACUUCUCUCAUUAAUACUCACUGCUACUACUUGAAUCAAAUUUCUAUUGAUUAACUCAUUCAAAUAAUCCUCAGCAGUGUCCUCCAUUCUUUGUUCAUCUUGUUGUGGAAUAAAACCCUCUGUAAUCCAUAAAAGGAGUAAUUCUCUCUUGGGGAUGACCCAAUCUUCUGGAAAGAGGCCUAGAUAAAGAAAGCAUGAUUUCAAGUUGUGGGGCAAAUCGAUGAAACUUAAGCUCAAUAUUGCAUCUACACCAUUGCCUUCAGAGAAGGGCACCUGGAGCUUGUUGAGCACCUGUUCCCACACAGUCGGCAACUGCUUUUUGGAUGAUAACAAGCCUCCCAAUACAACAAUGGCCAAUGGCAAACCAGCACAUUUCUUCACCAUCUUCUCCCCAAAUACCUUUAACUCUGGAGGACAAUUGUCAAUAACAUUAUUGGGGAUUGCAGUUCUACAAAACAGCUUCCAACUCUCUGCUUCAGAGAGAAGUUGCAUUUCCAAGGGGACACUCUGAAUAUCUGCUUGCAAAGCAACAUCCCUAUUUCGAGUUGUAAGAAGUAAUCUACUGCCAUUGUUCUUCUUUGGAAACACAUUUUCAAGACAUUUCCAAUCUUCACUGUUCCAUAUGUCAUUCCGUGUAAAAAAAAAAAAAAAAUCAAAAUCCCCAAUCUUUAAAAACCCCUCUUCCAUUCUCAAUUGAGCCCUAAUUUCAAAAUCUUUCAAAAAGGGUCUUCAUCUUCUUCUUCUUCUCUUCUUCAUUGCAUAAGCUUCCACCACCAAGGUUGCUGAAAUUUAUUUAUGAUGAAGUCCUCCUCCCUCAUCAUUCUUUUCAACAUUGGAAAUCUCUACAUCAAUGUUUCAUUGGCGCCAUUUCUUUUCCGGAGUGGCUCAUUCACAGGUUUCUUAGCUUAAGCUAUCUUUUUCGGGAACCUUAGGUGUUCGGUUUGUCCAUCUUUCUCUCCACCAUUAGCUUAAUCUAGAUGCUUUCUUUGUGUGGAAUCCUUUCACAACAUAUUUUUUUGGGGUUUCAUUUUUGCCUUGGAUUGUUUUUGCUUUCUAGCAAUGUUAAUCCUAGGCUUUGUUUGCUCAUUGUGAGUGCCCUCUAUACAUUUUCAUGCUUGGAAUCUAUUUUCAUGGUGAUAAAGCAUUUUUUGAAAGUUUUUAAAUGAAACCAUGUGAUGAGAUUUAGGAGGAGUUUCGUAUAUCUUAUGAUGGGAGUUAGGGGGAGAUUCUUGUAUCCUAUAGUUUUUUUGGGAUGUUGAUAUGGAUACUUGGUAAUAUGUGAAUACUUGAUUUUUGAGUAUUUGACAUUUUGUUGAAAUGUGGAUGUUUGUUGAUUUGGAUGUGAGAUAUUCUGCUAAUUGAAUUGUCAUCCAUUUGUCUUUUUUCUUGGAUAGAAAGGGAGAGAUUGUGGCCCUUUGUCUCUUUCUGGGACAAAAAGGGGGAGAGACAUUGUAGUUAUUAUUUUGGUGAUUGGAUAUAUGUGGAUAUCUAUGUGUUAAUUCAUUCAAAUCUUGUGGAAGUGCCUUGGAAUAUGUACAGGUGCUACUAAUGUUUUUCUUGAGAUUUUUUUUGCAGGUAUUGUAGUACCUAGGUUGUGGUUUUGAGUGAGCGAGUGGCCUUGUAUGAGUGUUGGGUGGGGUUUACUUACUUAUACUCAUUCGUGUUGUAAAGGGUUUUGUCCCAGAAUUGCUAAAGGGGGAGAUUGUGAGUGUUUAGCUAGGUUGGCAAUUCCGGACAAAAUUCCUAAGUGUCCCCUAACUCGGCUUUCCUAUUCCUAUUCGGACUACUUGACUUUGAAGACUAAGACUUUGCUAAGAGGCCGAGGUAUGUAGUCGAGUGUAGAGUGAUUGGGUGUGAAUCAACCCGGUUUUUAAUCUUUAAAUGUGUUAGAAAGUUGGGAAAAAUGAUUUUUGGUGCAAGGCUUUCAUUCCUCUGUUUCUGGAUCGAUCCAAGUGUAGGGGUGGAUCUAUCGAACUAAUGUUUUUUUGAUCAAAUCUCGGCCAUUAGAUUAAGGGUUUCUUUUUACACUAUAAAAACCAAUCUUCUCUCAUUUUCUGGAAGAGAGACUGCUGAAAAUGUGGGGAGAGCAGCCACACUCCAAGUGUUCUUCAUUUUCUCAUUUUUGCUUUCCUAAUUUGGGGUUUUUGAUUGCAAAGAAAAUCCACUUCUCUUAAUGUUUUCCAAACUAGUUUUCAAUGGAUUUUCUUGAGCAAUAAAUGGGUUGAUUCAUUACUUCAUUCACAUCUCAAUCUUUCAUUCUAUUUGGGUUUGUGCAAAAACCCAUUUUCUUCUUGUGUGGAUUCAAGAAGAGGCCGAGAUUGAACUUGGUGCGGACUCCAAGUGUGCUUCAAAAGGAGAAGCUGAAAAUGAAGGUACUAGUCAAGUAUUCUGGGAAGGAUUGGUUGGCUUGAGCUAGGUAAAACCUUGUACUCAGUUUUUAUUCCUCAUAAUGGAGUUUUCAAUCGGUGAUAGGUCCGUGGUUUUUGAUCUCUUCGGAGGUUUUCCACGUUAAAAAUCCGGUGUUCAUUGUCUCUUUCUCUCACUCUAUAUUUUGAUUUAUUUUUGAGGAGUGUUGAAGUAUUUGCAUGUGUUUUGCAUUUAUAAAUUGUUGGGAGAGUGUUGAUGCAUACAUUAUUGCUUGCGGAUGUUUUGCUUUGUUGAAAAGUUAUUGGAAGAAAAAAUUCUUGACAUUAAGAUAGUCUAAGGUUAGGUAAUCUUUGUUGGGAGAAUUUUUAAAUUGUUUUACAACACCUAUUCACCCCCCUCUGGGUGUGGUUCAUUAUUGAGAUUCACAUUUUCAUCUUCAUUUGGUCUAAGCUAGCAAGUUGAAGGAUUUUGAGUUGAGGAAAGCCAUUUGCAGAUACUUGCAGUACUCCUUGUCUGAGUUUUGAGAUCAUCCUCAAUCUUAAAAUCAACAAUUUUGGCAGCUUCUCCAAAAUCGCCAUAGGGUCAUAGUCCAGUAUAAUCCUAUCUAAGGUCAACUGUGUUAGAUUUGGUGAGAAUUCAUGUGCUCUAGGCAAUUGCUUUAUGUUUCCCUUCAUGUGCAGCUUAGAUAGAUGGAGCCAAGAGUUCAUGACAAAAGAUGGAAUGCUACGGGGAUCUGAAUCCAAAAAACUGUAGUGACUUGAUAAUGAGUGAUAAAGACUGAAGGUAUAUGAUGAUGUCUCAAGCUGCGGGAAGGGAUCUAAUAGAUCUGAUAUGUCACGAUCAUCACGUUCAUAUUGAUUAAGAUACAAUGAGCGAAGAUUCACAUGCUUGGCAAUAGAGUUUGAGAACUGGGACACUUCCAAGUCAAAUCCCACGUUGAUUUUCAAUUUAUGAAGGUUAGGUAACUUACUCGUAUCAUUUUGUUGCCAAUCACUAAACCAUAUGCCGGAUAGAGUUUGGAGAUUUCUUAGAUUGUCAAUUCGUAAUGGCUUGCCAUCUUGUCUUUCAUACGAGAUGAAAAGGUGUUGAAGAUUUUCCAUGUUCUGCAUCAUAGUUGAUACCUUCCUAAAAUUAUUUAUAUCCAAUGUCUGCAAACUCCUUAAAUUACCUCAAUAUGUUGGAGAAUAAGUUCUAAGCAGGAAAUUUACUCUCAAAUACCUCAAAUGAAUCAGUUUCCCAAAUGCUCUCGGUAUUUCAACGAAUAAACCUUCCAAGUCUAGCACCCUAAGCAGUUUGAAAUAUUUGCAAAUAAAAUCUAAUUGUUGUAGACGGCACCAAUGACCUUUUAAUGUGAAGAAGAAGAGAGAGCAAAUGUAUGGAGUUGAAUGUUUUGUGGAAGCAUACCUCUCCAAGUCAAAAUAAAUACCCUGUCGAUGGGAUUUGGUUGAAGGAAAAGAUGAACUCACGCUCUUUUUUAUCUCAAAAAGGGUCUGCUCUUUCGCCCUUUUGAUGCAUAAAUCCCGUACUAGAUCAUGAAUUUGGCAUUUUGUUGCUCUCUCAUUAACACUCACUGUUACUACUUGAACCAAGUUUCUACUGAUUAACUCAUUCAAAUAAUCCUCAGCGGUGUCCUCCAUUCUUCGUUCAUCUUUCUGUGGGAUAAAACCCUCUGCCAUCCAUAGGAGGAGCAAUUUUCUUGUGGGGAUUAUCUGAUCUUCUGGGAAGAGGCCUAGAUAAAGAAAGCAUGAUCUCAAGUUGUGGGGCAAGUCAAUGUAGCUUAAACUCAAUACUGCAUCUACUCCUUUGUCACUGGAGAAGUGCGCCUGUAGGUUCUUGAGCACCUUUUCCCACUCAGUAGGCAAUUGCUUUUUGGAUGAUAACAAGCCUCCCAAUACAACAAUGGCCAAUGGUAAACCAGCACAUUUUUUCACCAUCCUUUCCCCGAAUUCCUUCAACUCUGGAGGACAACUCUCAGUAACAUUGUCAGGGAUUGCACUUCUACAAAACAACGUCCAACUUUCCGUGUCCGAGAGGAGUUUCACUUCGUAGGGAACGCUUUGAGCAUCUGCUAGCAAAGAAACAUCCUUAUUUCUAGUUGUAAGAAGUAAUCUACUGCCAUCACUCUCCUCUGGGAAUGCAUUAGCAAGACAUUUCCAAUCAUCACUUCCCCAUAUGUCAUCCAAAACUACCAAAAACCUUUUCUCCUUCAGGCGUUUAUGAAGGAAAUCCCCCAACUCGUUCUCCUGCAAUUUCUCUAUCUUCCUUGCUUCAUCUCCCGUUGGUGUAUAAGGAAAUUGGUUUAGAAUUUGUUGAAAGAUGUCUCUGGGUCUACAAUCUUGGGAUACAUAAACCAACGCACGACAAGACUGAAAAUGAUCCACAACUCUGCUAUGAUUAUAGAUUUUCUUGGCAAGAGUAGUUUUGCCGAUGCCGCCCAUUCCUACAAUAGAAAUCACACGGCGCCUUGGGUCUCCUUUGGUCAGCUGCUUCACAAGCUCUUUGGCUUCUUCAUUCAGGCCUACAAUGACAUGUUUUUCUGCACGAGGAGUGGUCCGUCUUAGAUUCUGCAGCAUCUGAGUUGAAGUGCUUGUUCCUUCACCAAUAUUUUUUAUUCCCAGGAUUUCCCGCCUCUUUGAGAUGUCUUGGAGGUUAGUUUGGACGUCAUCGAUUUUCUUGCCAAGGUUAUGCAGACACCUCGGCUUUUGGAAAACGCGCUUGACAAAGAUUUUUCUCCUCAGGGCCUCAGCCUUGAGGAUGAACAUGUCGACCACGUCUUCAGCAUCAUAAGCAACAUCUCGGAUGUCUGAAACCCAGUUACGCACCCUUGGGUCUUCCUCUUGCUUUGCAUCGGCUGCUUCCAAGAAGCAGUUGAUCGCCCUCAGAUCUCUAUGCAGCCUCUCAAUUCGUGGGCGCACAUCCUUCAAGAAAACUGCUUCUUCAAUGAGUUGGUCACCAAUCCUGUUUACGACAAAGGAGAUUACAGCCCUUUCCAUCUUAAUCUUCUCCUUAUUACUCCCCUUAAACAGUCGAACGGAGAUGAUAAAUCUUUAGCAGGAAUGCCAAGAAGCAAGACCUUAUCAUGUCGAUCAAGGUAUCUUCAUUGACCAAACCAUUGCAUUAUUGUGUUUUUGUUUUUUUGGUGGAAAGGACUGAGAAGAGUAUUUUAUGUAAAUGCCAGAAAUGCAUGAGCUGGACUUGAUUUUGAUCGACCAACGACCCAUCAUAUGAAGGCAAUAUUUAAUUCAGAAGUUGAAAUUCAGCUAGCAAUCAAAGAAGUCUCUCACCUUCUAUUCAUAAUUUAAAAUUUGUUCAUCCAUUAGUCUAUUUUAUCCCUUUUGGUUUUAUUUUUUAUUCUCUUUCAAAUGUGUUAGGUGUCGAAAAAAUGUACAGAAAGUUUUAUAAUUAAUGGCCUCUCACAUUCGUGGUGGUAAAAAUCAAAACAAUUUUGUGAAAGUUGUAGGUUUGCUUUGAUCCAGACUUCUCAUUAAUUAGACCAAGUCAAGCAAACACUGAAUGGAAUAUGAAAUUUGAAUAAUCUUGGCUUCUGCAAUUUGAAUGAACAACAGGGGAAGCCAAAACGGUGCAUCAUUUUGGCAGUGCCCACAUGCAUGCUUCCACCUUGCUGUACAGACUUGUCAAGCGGUAUAAGCAGACAGAUAAUUUUGAUUCAACAAUGUACCCAAUGGAUACCAAGACAGCAACAAUUCCAAUGAAGAAGAUGAAUAGAGUGGGGCACUACGGGCACGUUUGAUCAACUGGGGUUGAAAUAUAGGGAACUAAGUGAGAGAAAUUGGCAUGUGCAGCAUGAGAAAAGUGGAGGAAACAGAGGAAUCCAUAGAAGAGGAUGGAGGAAUCCUGAAACUUUGUUUGAUGCCUCUAAAGAAGAAACAGAUAUUGUGUUGCUAGGUGAAGAUAGAAACAUAGAAAUUAAUCAGAUGCCCUUAAUUAUGUAGAUGAAAAUCAGCAUGGAAUCUGGAAGUAAAUGGAUGUAAAUCACAGGGAUGGAUCCAAAUCACAGAAAAAUACAAGAACAAUAAACAAAUUAUACACUGAGACCUGUUGAAAAAACUAUUAUGAUUGAGUUGAUAACAAUCUGCAUCCUAUGCAUACAAUCUCAGUCUCUAAUACUUACUCAUUAAAGUUCUGACAGUCACUGACCUAAAAGGUCUUGAUCAGGCAUGGAUUUUACAAUCACAUACAAAAGAAAACCCAAUUUGUAUAUUCAUUAUCUAAUGACAAUCUUCUUGUACUGCGGCUUAUAACCCGGACAAUCAUCAAUGGUAAUAGUGUCAUAUCUUGAGACCUAAUUUCCUGAGAUGGAUAUGAAAAUCAAGAACAACAUCUUAGCCCAAGAAAAAAAAUUGAGCAGAUGCUUACAGUUUUGAUGUGUACAGAGUGGGUCAGGAGUAGGGUUAUAAUUUGGAAAUAGAAAUGUAUUAGUCACAUUUACCUUUUGUAGAUGUGAGAGCUCAUUAAGCUUAACGAUUUCCACGAAACUUGCAAAAAUCUGCAAUUAAGCUUUGACAUGCCACCUUUCUGUAUAUUCAUCCUCUUCCAUACUGUUAAGUUAGAAGGAUAGAGAAUUUUUAGUUGAGAAAAGCCAUUUGCAGAUACUUGCUUUUCCAUCUCCAUGGUAUGAGUCCUUAAUCUGAGAGCUAGUCAACGAUUUUGGCAGCUUCUACAAAAUUGUCAUAGAGCACUCGUUGUAAGAGACCAUUCAUUUUUAUGCAUGUCCUGUCGUACACAAAACAAGAAAUGUACAAGAGCCACCAUUUUAAUUUGUGCCACCAUGCUGCCCAUUCAUGCCACACAGACAUAUGAAUCAUAAUACAAAACCCCAAAAACAAGAAACUCGAUCGAUACAAUAAUCAAAGCAAAAAUAUGCACAUUCUCUUGCCUUAGAAUGACGAGUAAGACAUCCUUAUAUUCAUAUAUAGAAAUUAUCAGAGUUUCUUUAACAAAGAAGAGCUCCAAACCACUUUGAUUGAAAUGCAGAUUGGUAAGAGACCAACACAAGAAGCACACCCCUCAUUAGGAUAGUAACACCCCAAGGAAAGCUCCCAGCUCUGUGAUUGGACUCAUGCUGUGGAUGUGGAAGCUGAAAACUAAGCCCCUCGUUGGUGGAGAAGGAAGCCAUGAAGAAGAUGAAGACCAAUUCAUUGUAGCUUGGUGUAACUGGGCCUUGUAGCUUGUGUAAAACCAAUUCAUUGGUUUCUCAAUCCCUGAUCCCCUUCUCUUGUGGAAAAACCACUCUAUUGUUUUUUCAGUCUCUACCUUAGUUCAUCUGCAAGAAGUAAAUAGGCUUAUUACGCAUGAAUUGAAAUUUCGAAUUUUACGGAUAUAUCGGUACUUCGAUUUUAUGGAUAUAUCGGAAAUAUCGGUGAAUAUUUUUUCACAAAUAUUAGUAAAACAAAAAUUAUUUAAAAUUCAUAUGAAUGUUUGGAAAAACUAAAAAAAAAUGAUAAAAUAAGUAAAAAUACAUAUUUUAAAGUUAUCUUGUAAAUAUAAUUGACAUAUAUAUAAUCAAGAAGAAAAACAUCGUAAACAG